rnacentral:lncRNA from 1 species
UGGUUUAGAUUCAGGGGUUUUGAGGCAUUCCAUCUCUUAUCUGUAAUUUCAAUUUGUUCCGUUCAAUUUCAGUCUUCCGCGUACAAAUCAAAUAGAUCGGAGUUUUCCAGUUCUUUGCGAUAUUGUUUGUGAUUUCUGGAGAAACUUCAUAAUUUUCCGGUAAUUGCCGGCGAAGAUCAUAUCAUCUGGUAUCAGUUUCCGGGUUUCGUAAGGGUUACGCUAUCUAUAUAUUUACAACAAAAAAAAAAAAAACAGAGCACAAUCAACACGAUCUGUCGAAAAAAAAAAAAGACGAAAGCAGUACGUCUUAAAUUUGUGUUUACCCCGUUGUGUUUUCCUUCAUUCUUUGGGUUUAAUCGCUCGUUGUGGUAUUUGUAUGUUUCUGCGUAGCACUGAUUUUGGGUUCCAGUCUGCGUUUAGGCGUCUCUC